UACGUAGGGUGCAAGCGUUGUCCGGAAUUAUUGGGCGUAAAGAGCUCGUAGGCGGUCUGUCGCGUCGGAUGUGAAAAUCCAGGGCUCAACCCUGGACCUGCAUUCGAUACGGGCAGACUAGAGUUCGGUAGGGGGAGACUGGAAUUCCUGGUGUAGCGGUGAAAUGCGCAGAUAUCAGGAGGAACACCGGUGGCGAAGGCGGGUCUCUGGGCCGAAACUGACGCUGAGGAGCGAAAGCGUGGGGGAGCAAACAGG
rnacentral:rRNA from 1 species